UUCCGUCUCUCAAGCAACUUAAAUUAAAAUUUCUUCAAUGUAUGUGGUACUCUCAUUCCUGAGCCUAUGGUUUAAAGAAUUGGCUUGCACAGUGUUCUGAAAAAUGGGGUGGCGAGAGACCAUAAUGACAUAAGCAGACAAACUUUCUCCCGCGUGCCGUGACGUGGCUUCCUUACUGCCCUGCUCUGCUUUGAUGCAGUGGAACUGCAAUGGUCUUUCUGGUUUUGGACUCCCUUCUGCUCAUCUCUUUUUCUGAGUGAUUUUUCUAAGGUGUCUGCUGCUUGUUUAAGACGCUAUGGUUACAGUCAUUGUUUUUAGGAUCAGAAGGUGGCAUAUAAGGCCUUACUAAGACAGUGUGGCUCAGACGUCAUUACAGACACUCCUGUCUUUUAGCUUUCCUGUACUUCAGUUCCUCAGAGCUGCUGGUGUUUCUUGAUCACAUUCAAUUGCCAGUCACUGCUUUUACCUGCUGUUUGCUCCGCUGGGACUGCCCUCACUGGAUUUCCAGCUUGCCUAAAGGAUCAUCUGUGUCUCCCAAAAGCUGUUCACAACCUCUCUCUUUUCCCACAUUAUGAGACUACUAGUCACAGGGGAUAUUACCUUAAUAAUAAUAUUUUUAAAAGACAAAGCUCCUAUUUGACUAUGUGAAGACUUCCACAGGACUCAGUCAUUUUUUACCCAUCAGAGCACUUUAUGAUGCUUGUUAAACACAAAUUACAGGAGGGAAUUGUUUUACUUUCUACUCCUACCCUAGGCCUUAAAGAGACCAGGUAAAAUAAAAAUGGAGUUACUCACUGAAGUUCCGUAUCACCAAACACAAACUACACUGUUACUUGAUCUCCCCCCAAAUAGAGACACCAGCCGGAUUUCUAAACAGGCCAGUUUCAGAUCAUGAUAAUGAACUUCCCUCUGCUCUACUCUUUACAGACACACACACACACACACACACACACACAGAGAGAGAGAGAGAGAGAGAGAGAGAGAGAGAGAGAGAGAGAGAGAGAGAGACAGGGAGAGAGACAGACAGAGAGAGAGAGAGAGAGAGAGAGAGAGAAACUGACUUAAACUGUUUACCAGCCAGUUUUUUCUAUUGUUUUGCCUUCCUGCGCUUGCAUUACAAGCAAAGUUAUUUCAAAAUCUGCUUUUUGUUUUUUGUUUCUACUUUCUUCUCAUUCUUUUCUGACUCUGAAACCAACCUCUUCUUGCUCGGCCCAUCAAAAAUUUUAUGAAAUGAAAUAUUGGCUGACUCUGGAAUCCCAAAUAAAACCAAUAGAUUUCUUUAAAAUAUAAUUUGAUACAAUUGUGUCCUUUGGCAUGUUAAUGAAAAAUCUCAUUUACACCCAUAAUUAAUUGACUGGGUCAUAUUGAAAGGCAUGGUAUCCGGAAUCACCAUGUCUCAGUGAGGCUCUGUUUAUCCUGACCGAGGUGUUACAGAGAGAGCUGAUCUUGGUCCUCCUGUUGCCAUCCUCUCCAUCCCACCUUAACUUUCAAGUCUUCACCUAAAUGUGCACUUCCAUGAAGCCUUCCAUGUUCCUUUCAGCCAGAACUAACGCGGUAAUCUUCAGUGUUUACCUGAGCAUAUCCGUACUUGUGUUUAGGAAAACUUUGGGUGAGUGUUUGUUCCCUCUAGUCCAUUCAUUAAAAAGAUUCCUGAAGGGAAGUAUUCAUUUUAGCUCUUUGCACCAAUUUGAUUAAACUAGAUAAACAAAAAAAUGUCAUUUAUUUUUAUUGAGGAAACUUACACUAUUCUACCAAGUAGCUCACUGUGGAUAUACUAUACCUUGGUCUGGCUAGUGGUCAAAAUUAUGUAAGCAUGAUGAAUAUAGACCAAUUUCUGUUGUUGUUCUUGUUAAAAGUUUACCGCUAUUCUGCACACAGUAGUUCUACUGUGCUCUUUAUGCAGUGUUCUCACUUCUUGAUCUCUGUCAAAUUCCUACCAUGCUUCAAAGUUCAUUUUACGUGCCGUAUUCCACAAAACUACUCUGGUUUACUGAGUGAAUGUGACCUCCCUUUUUUGAUAACACACCCCAAUAUCUUUUGUUUUCAACAGCUCUUGCUUUCAUUCUUUCUGUGUGCCUUUCUCUUUUUUAACUCCAUGGGAAUUUCCUUCGAAGUAAGGUGUCAUCUUAUUUAUUAUGGCUAUGGCUUCUAAAACAGGGCCUGGAGCAGAAUAGAUCUUUACUUUGGUAAAUUACCAUAUCAGAACUAUCAGACACAUACACAGAAAUGGAAGUGGUGGUGCAUGUCUAAGAAUCACAAGUGUGAUUCUUAGUGUGAAACUUGUGAUCACAAGUUUGAGUCUAGCCUGGGUAGUUUAGCAACUUAGUGAGAUUGUCUCAAAAGAAAAAAGAAAAUAUGAGAUGUGAAUGUAGUUCAGUGCGCUCAUUCAGUGUGCUCUCUGCGAUCAUUCCCUGUCACUGGAAGAAGAAAGAGAAAGAGGGAGAGGGAAAGAGAGAGGAGAGAGAGAAGCUACUAUACUAACAUCUACUAAUAUCUUAAAGGAAGAUAAACAACAUUUUUGGCACUGUGUGAUUCUUCAUCAGCUUGUACACACUGUAUUUGUACACUUUGUACGUAUGCUAUAAUUCAGUGAUAAUGUUUAUUUUACAAAACCCUCAUUAGCAGACUCAGCAGCAGAAAAGACAAAAUGAAAGAGUUAAGUAGUAAUCUAGUGAGGGGAGACAGGUGGAGCACACAGGAAAAAAAGGAAUGAAAAAUAUACAAAGAAAAAGCUGGAUGAAAUGUCUGCACGCUACAAAGUUUUUUGUUGUUACCAUUGAUUUAGCUGUGGUUGCCUUGAUGGGUCUGGAUGAAUAAAAUAGAGACAGUGAAGGCAUUCUUCAAAUAAGUGACGAAAUAACACCUGAAAAAAAAAAAAAAAAAAAGAGCUCUUACAUCCCAAAGUCUAUACCAACAAGAUGAAACUGCUCACAGAUUCACACAAAAUUAUAACAUUGGAAUUUACAAAAAUUACUGUAUAUAAACCAACAGACAACCUCAGGUUUUUUCCUUUCAGUCCUGGAUAGAAGACAAUGAGGUCAGAUCUGCAAUGUUGAAAGAAAAAAACCCAAGUUUAGAAUUAGGAUUUAGCAUCUGUGGACGGGUGCACAAGGCAUCCAGCAGCCAGGGCACAAGGCAUGCCCUAUGGCUCACUCAGUGGCUUUUCUCUCUUGCUGGUGGAACCUCAUUUGGGUGAUGUGUACAUUCUUCGUCCAUGCCAUUCAGGGAUGAGGCAAACAAACUGCCACAUAUCCCAGGCCUCACUCUCUGCUUUCUUAGUAAUCUAGCUAUGAACCGGCUUACCAGGGAGAAUCUGGGAUCGGUAGCCUACACCAGAACUAGAAAAAAAAAACUCCCACAGGUAAUGGAAAUCCCAGCUGCACCACUUGCUCACAAUUCCCCUGGUUGAACACUCCCAUCACUAUAGUCCUGGUAAAGUUUGCCUUUCCACUCCCAGCUUCCCUGUAAACAUGAGAGCAGCGUAAAUAGGAACUCAUUGUCCCAGGGCACCACCCUCCAAUUGCAUCCUGGGGAGGCUGAUUCAAGCACAACUCUCCGUGAUGACUAAGGAAUUCUGGGGAGCCUUUCCUACCAGUAUUCUCCAGCAAGCCAAGGAUCAAGCACAUCUCCCAUGGAUGAGGGUAUUUGUCCCUAUCUUUGGGUGCACAAGGGGUGAGUGUUAAUUAGCAUGCACUAGGUAUCGUAAUCCUGUUCUCUGUGAUAGUCUUUGAUUUAUAAAGGAUGGAGUGACUUAGUCCUGGCCAAUAGAUGACAGAAGUCUGCUGACUGGCUUAUGUGAAAGGUCUUCUUUCCUUUAAGAAAGAAAGAGAGUAUCCAUGUACCUUGGACAUUGUCACACCUGCCUGUAAUUCCUGGGACUGUCCAGGAAGGAAAUUAACCCUAAAGCAGAAUACAAAGGUAGAAGACACAGAGUGGAGGUUGAGAAGGAUUUUUGAUUUACAUUUCAUACUAUUACCCUAUCUCAAACCUUCUGGGUAAGUGAGUUCAUUGAAAAUAUUUGCUUUAAAAAUGAUUUGAGAGGCUUGGUAUGCGGCUCAGUGGUACAGAGCAUUCCUAGUAUAUAUGCAGCCUUGGAUUUGAUUCCCCAGCAUUGCAAACAACAACAAAAAAUUUUGCAUAUAGAUUUUUCUGUUGUUUCCCAGAUCUUCCUGUUGGAAACAUAUAGGAUUGCCUUGGUUACUUUUUCUAUCAUUGCUGAGACAAACCAUCUAACACCCAAAAUUAAGGAAGGAAAGGUUUGUUUAGCUUAUAGUUUUUGGAGGUUUCAACCCAUAAUCAUCUGGCUGCAAGGCAAGGUGUCAUGGCACUAAGGCAACACUUCAGGGCAGCAGCCAGAGCAAAAUAGGGAAACAACCCUCUUCUCCUUACAUUGUGCAUACCAGGACUGGUAUAGCACUGACAAAACCUUCCUGCCCUCCUCUUGCACAGGAUGAGGAUGUUUACAAAGUAAGGAUCCUGGCUCCCUGCUGAGUCUCUCAGUUAAACUUCUAAACUUCUCAAGUUGACACAAUGUACCAACCAUAAGAAGGAUUCAAACAAUUUGUCACACACAAUGCUGUCACAGAAAUUAAUCCAGAAAGAACAAUGAUUUCAGAAAGAAGGGGUUACAAGAAGAGCAAGCAAGAAAAUGAAUGCUGCUUAGUGAAGUAUAAAUAAGAGUGAGUGCAACACAAACAUUUGUGAGCAAUUAGCUGUAAUAUCUAGCAAAAUUAAUUAAGUGCUAAACAGAUAUGUGGAGUGGAUGAAAUCGAGGUAUAAUGUGGGUAUAAUGAAGGGUAAUUUUAUGUGUUAACUUGACAGAGUCAGAGAAUGGACCUAUAAUCUGGUUAAAUGCUACUUCUGGGUGUAUUUGUGAAAAUGCUUUUGGAGGCUAUGACUGUUGAAUUGGAAGACUGAGUAAAGAAGAUUGUUUUCCCCACUGUGGACUGGGACUUGCACCAGAGAUUUUCAGAUUUUGGACUUGAUCUAGAAUGCACACCAAUGAUUUUUCUACUCCCCAUCAGUCUUCAGAUACAGACUGGAAUUAUUCCACCAGUUUUCAUGGGUCUCCAGCUUGUGAAUGGCAGGUCAUGGAAUUUCUGAGCCUCCACACCCACCUGAGGAAUUUUCGUAUAAGUCUAUGUGUCUGUUUUUGUGUACUCUCUGAUUGGCUCUGUUUUUCUAGAGACAAACAAUAUAACAAAGGAGGAAGCAUUCAAACUAGGCCUUGAAGUUUGCACAGAUUUUAGGGUAGAGAAGAUGUUGAAAGGAGAGGUUAAAAGGCAUGAAAAGCUGGGUCUUCCAAAGAAUACUGGAUAUGCAGUGAUGGCUAUUCUAGGAGGUCUCAAGUCCAGAGUGCUGUAUAUACUAUGCUUCAGAAAUACAGUGGAAAGUAUUGCCAUACCUGUGUGUACAAAUACAGAAUCUAUGCAUCUCUUGGGGUGGCAAAUUUGGUUUUUGUAUAUUCAUAAAAAAUAAUAAUGUUGGACAAGGUCAAAGGAAGGGCACCCUUAAACCAUCAGAAGAGCAAAGGCGCUUCUGAGAAUAUGAUGAUAGACUGGAAAAUGAGGGGUUUUCCAUCUAUACUGACAAAAAGAAAUGCAUGAAGGCUUUUUGAGAGACCUGCUAAUCUUAAGGGAUUGUGAAAGGGUAAAUACAAAUUAGUUCACUGGAGAGGUUUUUAUUUUAAACAGUAUAUUGCACAGAUGACUGAAAAACUUCCUGAAUUAAGAUAGGAAAAACAGCAAAUAAGCAAAUAACAGCCUGUGCUGUUUGUCUGUCUCACUACUUAUUGUCUGUAUGGUUAUAAUAAUUGAUUGGCAAAUCAACCAAUCUUGCCGCACUUUGUUGUGUUAUCAGUGACCUCACUGAUAAAAUGUCACUCCCUGAUCUACUUUAAAUAAAUGACAGAAGCAUAAAGGGAACUUGUUACAUGAACUACACAGUAAGUUCAAGGCCAGUCUAGAUUAAGUAGUAAGACCCUUUCUCCACUAAAAGAAAAAAACAAACCAGAUACAUAUUUUUAAAACACGGUAAGAUCAGUCACUUCAAGGAGUGAUUAGGAGGCUGAGGUGUUAGGAAGUGGAAAGUUCAGUUUCUGGUAACUGUGGUACUUGCAGGGGCAAAAAGCUGCCAGGUUUGGUUCAGGCAGAUUUUGAGGAGGGCAGUAUGGUCAUGGAACCAGGCUGGAUGUGGAUUGUACAGAAAGGAAUUAGUAAACAUUUUUUUCUAAUAGUACGGGAGUUAUGCCAAGAUUGCAGCUUCAAUUUAGAGGCUGUAAGGGUGAACUUUGAAAAGAAAAAUGAAAUAGAAGAGAAUUUGACCCCUUUUUGAAGCUAUAAUGACAUAAUUUGCAUGGUCAGCUUAAAAGUAUCCACAAUAAUUGUUUAUGUACUUUCUGACAUUUAGGAAGUUAGGCAUACCUGGUAGAUGGAAUGCCCGCUAAGAAAGGCAGAAGAUAAGAUCUCAGGCCCAUGGUAUGGGCAAAGAUUACUCAGAAGACUAAAGACAUGGAAGGAACUCCUCCCUACCUGUUUUAGUCAGGGGUUGCAAGGAGAACAAUUACAUACAGGACACAUAAUUUAUAGUAUUAUUUAUAAUGGUCAUUGAAACAAUCAAAUACAAAGAAAGUGCAGGAAACCUGUCCACAACACUAAUGGCCUAGAAAAUCCAGCGAGGCCCUGGACCCACGGCCUGCAUGAGUUCAGGUGAAAACCCAGAGCCCAUGACAAUGACCAAUGCAAGUCUGUUCCACAGAUCUGAACCAGGAAGACCCAAAGGUCAGUGGGAGAAGCUAGAAAGUCUAUGCCAGUAGGGUGAAAGAUCUGUGCAAGCAGGUCAAGGGUUCUGUACUGGAGCUAAGAUGCAAUGCUUAAAACAAGGACCAAAGCUCCCCUGAAAAUUACCACAGGCAUCCUCAAAGACACUGAGACCAAGGCAGUGAACAGCCAAGUGCAUAUCAGGAAGCCAGUGUGACAAACUACUCUAGGAGAAAACAGCACACGUUUUACCCUCUGGAGCCAGGAAGCAAUGCUCAAAGGAUCCAAGCUUCUCCAAAGUGAACUGCAGCCUUUCUCAGCAGUGAGGCCCUGAGCUCCUCUGAUGAUGACAGCCAAGUUCAUAUUAGGGGAGCCAACAUGACAAGUUCCUCCAGGGGAAUCAAUAGCUCCAAACAACAACACUUAGGAGAACCCACAAUGCUACUUUUUCUCUCCAGGUCUCCUUUUUAUGCUGGCAACAGACGUCUGUGGGCCAUUCACACUCAGCCCCAUCUUGAUUCAGUUCAUCUGGUGUUUUAGUUGACCACCAGUUACCAAUUCAAACUGUCUAAUUUUCCCAGAGCAGUGUCUCUCUCAAGAUCCUACAAUGCAAAUGGUGCUUCUUAUGACUUGGGAGGUCAUACUGACAAAGAGAAUUAUCUGAUGGCUUCCCAUCACUAAAGUCUAGACUAGUUCUGUCUUCCUCAUGGAUCAUUUAAAAAAUUUGUGUUUAAUUUUUUAUUGUCACAAUGAUUAGGUGUCAUUACUAACAUUGAUGACACAGGUGUCAUCAAUGUCAGUAGUAUGCAAGUCUGGCAUAGUCCUGUUCAUUUAACUCUCCUGUGUCCAAGUGGGCACUCAUGAGUUUGGAGGACCAACAGGCUAACUUCAAUUUACAUGUGAAUGCAAUGUAUUUAUUGCAGUGUUAAUAAACUACAAAUUUUCCUAGAAAUAAAGGAUUUGUAUUUUAACUUUGCUUAGACCUCUUUUUUAAAAAAAGUUGCUAUUUUGAAAAUUUGCAUAACUGUUAGAAAAUCACAGCACUGCUUAAAGCACUUAGUUGUUUAUGCAGUACAUUCAUCCUGAUUUGUGUUUGUACUUGGUGAAUUCAAAGAUGGUUCUCUAUCGAAAUGUGGCUCCUGAUCAUGUCACGAUGUCUCACAAUGAAGUUAUUCUCAAGCAUUUACAAAUUGAAAUAUGAUUCAAUUUCUUUUUAUUCCUAAUUUAUGUAAUGUUUAAGGCAUUAUCUCAUUAAAUAUGUAGUGGGUGUAUAUAGGUACACUGAAUUGGAAUGUAAUUUCAGGCUAAUGAAGAGAACUUAACAAGACAUGUAUUUUUUUUUCUUUUUGGUGGCACUGGGAAUUGAGACUAGGGCCCUUAAACUGAGCUGUACGGUUUUUUGUUUUUUUUUUUAAUUUUUUUUCCACUGUGAGACAGUUUUGCUAAGUAGCUAAACUGCCCGAGCUGGACUUGCACUUGUGACCCUCUUGCAUCAGCCUCCGAGAGUCAUGGUAUUACAAGUGCAUGUCACCAUUGCAUCAAAAUAUUUCUGAUGAAAAGAUGGCAUUGGGUUUGAUGGACUUGCAAAACACUAUAUUGAAAAGUGACAGGAAAGGCAGGCAUUGUGAGCAUGGGUUAUAUUAAAUGUCCAUUACCUGUCCAUUUCUUUAUGGAGAUUUAACAAACUCUAGAGAACAAGGGUUUCAAUAAGAAGACAGAUCAAAAUUCUGUUGGAUUACAGGUAAAAGUUUGCCUUUUUGGGGAAUGAAAUUUUCUAUGUGGUACAACAUAAAUGCACCUUGAAAACAUUCUUAGUGAAAGAAAUCACAUACAAAAGGGCAAAUAUUGUAUGAUUCCAACUUAGAUGAGGUACAUAUAUUAGGUAAAUUCAAAUAGAAAGAAAAUAGACAAAAAGUUGCCAAGAUCUGGAGGAGGAGGAGUGGAAAUUUAUGGUGUAGAGAAUACUGAGUUUUAUUGAAGAUGGUGUAAAUGUUUGGGGUGUAAUGUGGUGAUGGCUAAGUGCUACUGUGGAUGUAUUUAACACCACUGAAUUACAAAAUUCAGAAUAGCUUAAAGUUUGAAUCUUCUGCUAUUCAUCUAUCAUUAGAAUAAGAAGAUUAAACUACAAAGUUUGCCUUUUUUAGAAAAUAGCUUAACCUCCUAAUACACUUCAGUUCCUACAGUCUGUAGACUUUAAAUCUUUUUGCCUUACUAUUCACAUCUUUCUGUUCCAACUCUGUGUGUUGCAUCAGAAACACCAUUUUAUUAGUGGGGAAAAGAACAAGAAAGUCUCAUGAAGGAAACCAUCACAUCAUUGUUGACUCUUGGGUUUUCAAAUACUGUGUUUAAAAUAAAGCAGAUAAGAUGACUAUUUGACAUAUAUGAAAGAUUUAACCUUCUCUGAGUUCAUUUUCAUGAAAACAAAAGGUCUUAAACUCCUGCUUUUGGAUGAUCUUUCCUGCUACUCCUUUUGGAAGCAGAAGCUAAGCUGUGUUUGCUGACACAGUUGCAUACAAGGCCAUUUCCUGUCCACAGCACAUGUAGUGGAAAGGUAACAGGGUCUUGGAAAAAAAAAAAAGUAAUCUGCUCCAAUGUCUAAUUGAGGGAUUUAGUUUUUGUUUUCAGCUUUUUUUUUAAACUGAACCUUUUAAAAAAAAGUAUCCAUUUCUACAGAUUCUUUUCCUUAUGACUUUUUGUCCUAAGAGUAGAUUUCUACCAUGAGGAUGAGAAUCGAGGCCUGAACCUACACAACACUCUUUAGCAUCUCUUAGAUUUGAAAGUGAGAAGGUCAGGCUGAUUUAUUCCCUCCAACACAGCCUUACUCAGACUGACUCCCUUAGCUUUGACUUCUCUAGCCCAAUCUAUGAAGUCAGGCUUCAGUAGACUAUGUGAAUUUUUUUGUGUGAGUUUCAAAAAAAAUAUUUAUUUGUCUCUUUAUUUAUUUGCUGGUUGAGGGACAUUUUGGGAUGAGAUAUCUGUCUUUAUAAUUUUGAUGAAAAAUGUUAGGGUCAUAACAUUCCUUGUUCUGAUAGGGAAGCUAUUGGAUGACCAUGGAAUACAUGUAAAGGGGCAGAAGUUUUACAGUGACAUUACAUAGAACUGCAUAGAUGGGUGUUUCCGUCACAACUCAGUGGCCAUCAGAGCAGCAUCAGCCUCCAGAUGAUCUGGAUAGAGCAAAGAAACUCCAAAAAGCCUGCCCUCUUAGAGACGUCAAGGUUUUUUUGUUUUAAUUUUAUGAAGAAAGCAAAUAUAAUAGUAUCUUUGUGUUUUAUCAGAAAAGUUAAUGAAAUUUACUUCUUUUGAACUAGGAAUGACCAGUAAACAAAAUUAUGUUGUCAUUCUCCCUGGGGUACAUCCAGUGCUGUCACAUUAAGCAAACAUUCCUUCUGAUGAGAACAUAAUACUUGAUGGCUUGUGCAAGUAGAAAGAGCUGAAAAAAUACAGAAUAGAAUGCAUUUAGAGACAUUGUGUGAUGGGAAAGACAUGCAUGAUCAGUCUUUUAAGUUUGUGCAGUUUCAAAAACUAGAGGAAAACUGGUUUGGGGUCAGUGAGGACUUUGUUCUGAAAUAUUAGUGGGAUGGACUUAGGCCUCGGAUUUUCACAUGUGAAGAGGACAAGUGGUUGGGGUCAUAAGAGCAGACGUGACACUGUCCAUUUGAAAUGACUCCUGGAACUCUGACCUGGAAAGCAUGUUUGGCUUGGACUGAGAUUUAACAGAUGACAAUGGCAUGGUGAGAGGAGCCGGGGUAACUUUUAUCUUCCCUUGUUCCAUCCUGCUGCUCCGUGUUUCUGCUGACAGCUUCUGGGACCACUGUCACGCAGAUCCCAGUGACUAACUCCCAACAGAACUGGAGGGUUAAGACCAACUGGUUGGGAGCCCCACCCUAGAAUUUAGAAAGUUGUCUCCAAAACGACAAUGAGCGUUUGGGAGUAAACAGAUUAGCUUAUUCUGAGAAAGAUGCAUUUAUUUAUGAUCAAACAUGACAGGUACAAAAAGGUGGGAGAAAGAACUUUAUGAUUACGGGGAAAAGCAGGACACUUCAUCCAUGAGCCUGUCCUGAUGUUCAGAGUGUUAAAACCCCUUCUCCCAUGUUGUGGGUGUUGGCAGGAGAUGGCUGUACUGCCUUUGCCUUGUCCUUAGUAAAGUCAUCCUUUACUGGCUGGCGCCUUGUUGGACGGCCACGACUGACUACAUUUCAAGUGGCAUGCGGGGUGUAGCUGCCAGUGGCACUGGGUUCUCUUGUGGUCAGUAAGCAUUCAAAAGAGCAGAAGGAAUAGCCACGUCAAGGCCUGGCUUGUCCCUGGGACUGUCCUUUGCCAGGAACCACGAGACGCCCGACCCCAGUACAAGAGAGGCCACACGGAGAAGCUGGCGAAAGAACCAACCAUUGGCAGAGUGCAGGAAGCAGCUCCUGUGGGUUUGCACCGCAGCUACACCACCAAUGGUACACAAUGUGAUGUGAUGGGGUAAAAUGGUUUUUCUUACUCUUCCAAAUUAAAGUAGCAUUUCCUUGACAAAUCAAUAAAAAAUAAUUAUUUCUUAUUUGGGAGGGAAGAAUGAUCUGGGACAAUUUGCCUAUUUCUGAUGAAAUAAAUGACUUAUGAAUGUUGGAAAAGGAAAUGGAGAAAUUGUAGUUUCUCUCCCCCCUGCUCACUGUGAAUGCUGAGACAGACAAGCUUGUUUCAUCCUGGUUAAGAGCAUGCGGUUUGCUGGUCAGGGGAUGGGCGAGGGAGUCAGAAAGUCUGAGUUGUAUUCCCAGCUUUGCCACUGACUCACUGGGUGACCUUGACCAAUUGCUGCACCCUCAACCUUGGCAUCCAGAAAACAAGGAUUUAAUGACAAACCCCAGAAAGGAAUGCCUGAGCAGUUUCUAGGCAUAUGGUGCUGAUACUAUGAAGUCCCGGGCAAGCAGAGAUGAUAAGAAUUCGCAAUAUAAUUUUCUUGCACAAGGAGGCAUGGUUAAGGGUUUCUAGAAACAAUUAGGGUGGAGAGCUUCAUAAAUCCCCAUGAUUGUUAGAGGUAACCUUUGUUAUAUGGCUUUGAAAACUCUCAAAUCUCCGAAACCACCUUGUCACCUUCCAAAAUCUCAUGCUACUGGACCGUUUGAAUUUAUUCGAAAACAAUUUAAAAUUAAAUUCCAUAGCACUGAGUCAUCUCUUGCCAGGCACUAAAUACUAAGAUGAAAAUCUCUCGUGAUGUUUAACACAAUAGCUGUUCAGAAGUUGUGCAUUAGAUAUUUUAAAGUCUUUCAUAAUUUGGUUUGUUACCUUUCAUGAGAACUUCAAGAAUUUAAAACUAGACUUUUCAGUUAGAAAACAAAUACUUCAGGUUGAACACAGGAAUGUGGUCUUCUACCAGAUCUUGUUUGCCUUGUAAGGAGUUUUGUGAGGAUUCCACUGGUGCUUUGAUAGUGGUAAUGGCAGAAUAAGCGUCAGGAAACUGCACUUUGAACCUGGCAUUUCCCUUCUGGUGAGUAAGUAAUUUUGACUCUAGGAAUCAGUUUCUCAGUUUCAAAGUGGAAGUGUGCCUAACAGCUUGUUUUUCUUUUUUUUUCUCUUUUUUCCUUUUCCUCCUCCUCGUCCUCAUCCACCUUCCUUUGUGUAUGUGCCAUAAAUCUUUUUCCAAAAGAACUUUUAGGCCACAUCCCGGCAUUAACAAGCUCCAGAACAGAGGAAUUUUAGCUCUUCUGUCUUCCACCUACAAGAUUGUUCUGUGACUAUAACUGUUUCAGGUUGUUUUCAUAUAUAAGACGUCUGUGAGCCUAGCCAAGGGGAGGAGCUGGGUAUGUUUACAGGCAAACAGUGUGGGCUGGUAACUACCAGGCUGGAUUGAGAGGUGCCUAAUUUUGGUUUUGGUCCAGUCAUUAAAAAUAGAAAGUCUUAAAAGCUUGGAUAAAAGCCACUUUGUAGUGUUCCUUUUGAUGUGCCCUUGCCCUAUACUCUUACAGACUCUGUUCACUCCCACUUACCUAUGACACCCUAUUCUUUAAUCAUCCUUGUUACAUAAAAUUUACUGUAGUUUGUGGCUAGAGUUUUUUUUUCUCUUGUAAGUACUUUCAUUUAAGGCAAAGAAAACCCUGAUAAAAUAUUUUCUGUAGUUAACAGCUAUUUUUUUCCUCAGAGUGAGUGCUUAAUAAAAAUGUAUUUAACAUAGAAAGUAUUGUAGAAUGAUUACUGUAUCAUAAUCUUCGUUACCAAGUAUAGUUGCUAGCAUUUUGAUAUUUCUUUGAAACUUUUUCUGUGUGCUCCAAAGGUACAUUGUUUUCAGAGGUAGGGCAUUGGUAGAUGAUUGCAUUAUGGGUUUUAAACUUAUUAGUGGAGUAAUCCAUUGAUGGAUUCAUAACUUAAAGGUAUUAUUGAGAGGUGAUAAAAAUUUAGAAGGUAGACCUCAGAGUGCAAGAUGGGGGUACAUUUUUGGGAACUGCAUCUUGGGGCCCCAGGUCCUCUCCUUUAUGUCUAUCCAGCUUCCAUAAGGUGGGUAGCUUUACUAUUUCUGUGACAUAGUUCUUGAAGUUGAGCACCUUAAUCAAAUUGUACAUACAUUUAAAUUCUUAAUGCUAUCUAUCAGAAUGAUGGGUACAAUCUAAAAUAGUAAAAUGGAAAUACAAGGAAGUUCUUGGUUUUUACUAGAAAGCAAAACAGCACUGCCUAUUGGACUUUAAAGUGUGUAGUCUCUGUCAGUAGAGAACCACAAUGAAUGAGAGGUGUAAUAACUGACUAAAGAAAGAGACAAUCCCGUGAUUCCCCAGGUGAAAUAGUGGAUUUCCUAGUUUCAUGACUGUUUUAAAAUUCGAGGAGUACAGGCCUCUUAUUCUUGUUCAUAAUAGUUCGCUCUUUAAUCCUUUUUAUUUUUUAAAUACUCACAUGACCCUCAUUUUAAAAUGAUGAUUAGACACAAAAAAAGUAGAGCAAAACUGAUGCAAAACAGUGAAAAGGUUAACCAGGAAGCAAUUAUACCACAAGCUAUCCCUCAAGAGGGCUUGUACCUGAAGGAUGGAAUUAAGUUGUUUGAGGCCAUCACUUUGAUUUUACUCAAGCAGCUAAGGAAAAGGAACUAUUAUUUUUUGUACAGCGAAUUGAUCUACUGCACUGCACAAUGCUGGCCUGUCAUUCACGGUGACAACACAGACAGGGGGCCCUUUGAUCUCUAGAAAGUUACAGCUGCAGGCUGGAGUCAGUGUGGAUGACACAACUCCUAUUCUAGGCUCUGAGAUGGAGACAGUCCAGGCUAGGAGGAAAACAAAUUCUGGGCUGGUGGGAGCAGCACCUUCUGCUGCUGAAGUAGCUCUACAGAAUAAACACCAUGGAUAAUUGUUUCUCAUUUAUAUAGCAGUACUUCCAAUAGUACCUCAAAAUUUCUCAUCUUGGGAGAAACUAGAAAUAUAGACCAAGGACUUCUGACUUAGCUUCAAACUUACGAUUCUAUUUUAAUGAGGGAAGUCAAUAAAGCACUAAUUAACAGCCACACACAAUUAUUCUACUCAGUAUCAUUCUUUACUGGGUAAAUAGAAAGGACAACAGAUAUAGCCCAAGAAACUGCCUUUUGACAGUAAGACACACUAUGAUCUGUUAUUAACGUGUUUAAUGAGAAACUAAAGAGUAUGGCUCAUUUGAAACAGUUUAUUAAUCUGGAGUAGCUUAAGACAGAAAAGAAAUGUUUACCAAUAAAAUUAGGCGUGGACUACAAGCAUACAAGUACUAUUAUAAGGAAUAAUAUGAUUAAUUGUUGCUCAUUAUCCCUGUUCACCUCCUUUCCUCGCCCUCACACAUAGCAGAACACAGCUUUACACAUGCAAUCUAUACCUUUAAAUUACCAUUAGACUGAGUUUUUUGUUUGUUUUUUGCCAUGCUGGAAAUGAAUCCAGAAACUCACACAGGCCUGACAAGUUUUCUAUCACUGAACUCUACCCCCAACCCCUAGGAAAAAAAGAACUUAAUGGUAAAUUCGUGUUAACCACUAAGAUGACACUAAGAAACAGCACAUAAGCUGAAUUUCCCUAGAUAAUUCUAAAGAUUUAAUUAGUUUGUCCAAUUUGAUUUGACUUGGUCUAAAAGAAAAAGAUGAAUUUGGAGAUCCAGGAAAAUUUUUGGCCCCUCAUGGCUAUGAGCAUAUAUUGUAUUUGGCUUCAUCUAAGUGUUAAGAAGCCUUGGGGAGUUACUCUCUGUCACACUGCAAAUAUUCUCUGUUUUGGAGAAUGUUUGUUCUAAUAAUGAGUAUACAAAAAUUAGAUUUCUAUUUUCCUCCAUUUUCCCAACAUUCGUAGAGAGGUAUCUUAUCUCAUUAUUAACAGUAUUUUGUCUCAUGAUGUUACAGUGGUCCACUUGAUUUUAAUGACUUGGCUGAACAUUUUAUUCACAUAUUUCUUAGUAAUGGAAAAUGAAUAGAACAGUCCUAAAAAAUAAUUAUAUCUAAGGAAAUUUAUGUUUUGUGUUCUCAUCUGCUGGCCAGAGCUGACCAUUUGUGCAUAUUAAGAAGGUGAUUAUGAUAACUGGUUGAAGAACACACAUUCAACAUCACCUCCUCCUUUGACCCCCAUACCUCUCUAACAAGCUGCCCAAAGACCUCAAUCUUCAAACCAUUCUUGUGUAGCCAUAUUCGAGAUUCAAGGAUUUGAAUUUACAUAGGAGAAAUAUAUUACCAAGGUAAUACAUUUAAUAUAGUAGCUUGGUUAAUUUACACAGAUAUCUUAGUAUUCCAGUGAUCCCUUAGCAAAGAAUAGAGCUCAGAGAGGAACUGAAAAAUGUAAGUGAGAAUCAAAAGGAUGUUGAUAGAAAAAGACUAGAAGUAGAUGUUCUUUCCAGGAUCAAUCCUAGACGCCCUACAAAAGGUGCUUGGAGAAGCUGUGUUUUACUUAUUAUUCCCCCAAUACCUCGCACAGAGUCUGUUGCCAAAUAAACGAGUAAAGGAAUGAACGUAGGCAUGUCAAGGUGAGAUGGUUUUUAGUAAGUGCAGAUGGUGGGGGUAGUCUCUAUACAUGGAUAGGGGGUGACGUGGGUAUACAGGGAGUAAAGUUACUGAAAUUGUUUUAAGGGCAGAUCUCAAGGCCUAAAGUUUGUUCUGGAAGCAGUGACCCAUGGUAGUCGCCUCUCACCAGAGGUGCUGGGUUUGGAAAUGACUGUGUUGUGGUCACUGCACCGAGCACUAACAGAGACGUCGGCCUUCUGCCCAGUAGACGGCGCUGUUGUAUUCCAACCUUGCUGGUGAUGCCCCCCUUCUUCAAGUGGUCCAUCCCAGAUUUUCACACUAAAAAGGUUUUCAGACAUUGGGGUAAAGACUUUUUUCUUCUAAUCUGGAUGCAAAAAUAUCUCUUUGCAACAGGCCGGGUUCUCAUGUCUUUCAAAGCAGUUGGUGGGGGGGGGGAAGAGCAGAAAAUACAUUUUCCUGUUCGAGGAAACAAAACAGCAACAUACACCUCUCCGAGAUGGGGUCCUGAAAGCUUUGACUGAAUUAAGCAGCUGAGGGGCAAAGAGGAGGUAGUGGUGGUCAAAUAAUCUGCAGUACUUGACCAGCAUCCUGUUUGGAUUGAAGGCCCUAAGUAACACACUUGGUGGGAGGCCUGGGCAGAGCAGGCUGCAUCUUCCUCCCAGUAAGCAGGGGAGAACACAAGGCCAUUGUGAAGUAACGUGUAAGGGGCUGCUGCUGGGAGGCUUGGGCAGGAGCUGUCCCCAGAUACCCACUGCCAGCGAGUCCACAGGGCAGCGUUGGCUGUGACCUCAAAGGGACUGAGGAAGAUGCCACCCUGGCCUGGGGUCAAACUGUGUGUGGUGACAGGGCAAGGAAUGUGGACUUUGGCUCAGUGAAGAGAGGAUAUAUGGGAACCCAGGGGAAAAGCCACCACCAGCCAGGGAGGGUGAUGUUUCUCCUUCCUCAAGAAGCAGUGUAGGAGGCCCCAAUCUUUUAGUUUCUGUGAGAAGUUUCAUUCUUUAUUGAGUUUCAUCUCACUAAAUAAAGAGAACACUUUGAUGGGGGAGAGAAACAACUCUUGGGUUCAUCCCACAGAAAGUAAAACCACAUUUAAUAAAGUCAUUUCACACAGAUUUCCCUUGGCUUGAAUUGCUGUAAACCUAAUGUGCGAGUUAGAGUUUUAGAAAAUCCUCAAAAGAAAGAAUUAGUGAAAAAUCUUAAUUAUAGCUGUGAAUGGUGGUAUGCAAGUUGGAUUAAGGAUGGGAAUAUCUGGGUCUGAGUCUUUAGUUUUCUAGUUCCGAUAAAUUGGAGUAUAUCAAGAUGUUUCUGAGUCUUUCUUUCCGUCCUAUAAAAUGGGGAUACUUAGUCUUGUCCUAUCCUUCUCACUGGGUUUUUGUGAGAACCCCAUGGGGAACAUAAUACGUCAGUUCUGAAGUUCCCUGGCAUUUCCAAAAUGUGCCCUUGUCAUAGCACAAAAUAUAGAAACUUUACACACAGUGAAUACUAAAAUGAAUAGGAAAAAAUGCAUGUGGUGCCUGAGCAAACAGUGAUGAAGUGAUUUCACAUUGCAAGAAGCAGUAAGACAUUUUUGUCUUUUUAUUGUCCUGUACAAUUGCUGACCAAAAGCCAGCUAGUUGCAUGUCUUUGUAAAGUACUACAUUCCAAAAUUUUCAAUAUUUAACCUUUUGAUUGUUAUUGCUUCCUAGCUGAGUCGUACUGGUAUAAGCUCGAAAAGUCUGUGACCUCAGAAGUUUAAACAAGUAAUAUUCCACCCAGAUCCUACUUACACAAGAAAUAUAACAAAGACAAAUGUGAGAUGUUUAUAAUAACUCUGAAUGCUGAUGUGAAAGUAAAGCAAAUGGGGAAUAAAAUAUUACACAUCUGAAAAAUGCAGUAAAACUCUAAGACCUAAAGUUCUACUUGUAUAACUAACAGAAAUACUCUCAGUACAGAAAAAUAAAAAUGAGGAAAAUGGGCUAUUAAAGCUAUUAAUCCUUUAAAAAAAAUCUCAUAAGUGAACUGCCUUAAACUUUUUGUAACAAGACAGGAUAUAAACAAAAGCAGAUAAAUACACGCUGGGUAAGUCCAGAGUUCUUUCUUGCAAAUAUUUUUAGAUUCCGUCUACAUGGCCAAAGAGAAUACAAAAUUAGUGCAACUGGUUUGUGGAAUGAAUUCAAAUAAGGGAACUAAAGGCUCAUUCAGUCCAAUAACUGGUGGUGAAUAUUAAAAUGUGGUUUUUUGUGGGGGAGAGGGGAAUGUUUUCACGCCUUCCUCCCCAAGAGCAGUUUUUAGCAUUUAUCUCCUAAACUUCUCUGUUUUAAGUGUAUGUGUCAUGCUCAUCUGUGUGAAUGAAAUGCAAAAAAAUUUUGAAGUGAAAAUCUCUAAAUCACCAAAUUUAAUAUAACUUUCAAAUAUAUGUUUACAGUUAGGGGAAGAGUUAAUUUAAAUAAAGGCUCAGCAGCAUGAUAAACUGUUAUGCAGCCAUUUAAAUAAAUGGAAAAUGUUUACAAUUACAAAAUAAGGGGAAGUUAGAAUUCAAAAUAUAAAUGCGCAUUUCUGAAACCUAUGAACAAGUAGAAAGAAAAAACUAUGUGGAUUAUGGACCAGUGCCGGCAACUUAUUAAUUUCAAUUCUGUUUCUAAAUUGAAUUUUAAAUAUUAAUAUUGAUUUUUCCCAUUAACAAUAGUGACAGUUUAUAAACUUCAGGAUUCCUUUAAUGUUCAAUUUCAGUGAUUUAAAAAAAAAUAUCCUAGUACAAGUUGAAAGUCUCUGUAUCAUGCUGUUUAAUGUUUUUCUCUGAAUAAUUUUCAAAGUUCUACUACUAUUACCCACUUGACUAUAAUAUUGCCUGAAUGGAACAAAUAUUUUAUGUAUUUCUCUUAGAUAAAUAUUAUAUCAAAUAUAUAGUAAAUAGUACAGUAAUAUCUAUUAUGUCUUCCUGUAAGGUAUGUUUUUUUGAGGGGUCUCUAAUUUACUUGUAGACCCUAAGACUCAGGACUGAGGUAAAUCUAAACCUUUGUUCACUGGGGCAUUCCAAAACUCAGUCAAAAACAUGUCUCUCUCAAAUUCAAUAAGCAUUUUCCUUCAUUCGUGAGCAUCUAGACAGGAUCACCAAUAAAUGACCUUUAUAGAUAUGACUGUGCUGAAGCCCAGGAGAAGCUCAAAGAAGAAGACAGACGCGAUAUGUGGAAACCAGAUAAAAAGUCAUUGAUUUAUACAGAAGACUGGGUGCUUCACAAAUGGAAGACUUUGUGCUACAGUCGUUACUUAAGAGAUAACAUUUCAUUACAGAUGCUAUCUUCAUGGCUUUUAAAUUCAACGAUGACAGAAAGAGAGACAGGAGAAAGAGAGAGGAUAUAGGGUUGAAAGUAUGAAGUUCCAUUAGAAAUGUAAAGACAGUCUGCAGCACUAUUCUGAACUUGAAGCAGGCAGUACACUAUCUUCUUGUGAUAAAAAGUGACAGGAAAUCAGGAAAUGACUUGUAAACCUGAAGUGAGGCAAAAGCUUCGUGAAGGGACACCAGGAAGAAUUUGGGAAAGAUGAUCCCUACUGCAAAUCAAAGAAAGCAGAUGUACUUAUUUGUCCAGGUACCCAGCCCAAGCAACGUCAGAAUUCAAAGACCCUCUGAUCUUCUGAGCGCCACAGACCCAGGCUGCCGUCUUGAAGUCUUGGAGAGCUCUGUGGGUAAAAGAAGAGCUUCUCUUCCAAGACCAUCUGCUGUUUUGGUCAUGUGGUCAACUCAUGGUCUACUUUAUGAAAGAAAGUUAAAUACUGUUUUCAAUGACAUACUGAAGUGUUUAAAUGUUAGGAGUUGUCAGUCCGUUUCUAAUUCACCCCAGGAACGUUUUUGAAGGAAAGUUUUCACCUGAUGGUGGAACCAGAUGCUGAGUGGGCAGUGGUAAGAGCAUGAUUUAGGCCCAAGGCUCAGUUGCAGGUUUCACUCUUAUGCAGGCUUGAGCAUUUCCCUUACCCUUUGAUUGGCUUCUUUAUCUACAAAUUGGGGUUUUUGGAGCCUGCUCUAUGUGCCUUACUAGAUUUCUCUGAGGACCAAAUUAAAUGAGGUCACAUUUAAGUUGGUACUUUCCUCUUCUUUAACAACAGAGGUGUCUUGCAAAUCUUUAGCUGUUUAACCCUUUAACCUAUGACAUUGCAUCCACCAGGCACUUGAUAAAUUAUGUUCGAUUGUGUUGGCUUUAUAAUAAGCAACAAUGGGCAUUGCUGUGGCCUAUUUCAUGAGUGUGGAUCUGUCUGUCCCCGGGGCUACUAAUCCCUUUGGCCCAUCAUGUCAGAUCAAGGUGAGCUUCUCUGAUGAAGAACAGAGUAGACUUCCUGUGCUGUAACCACUGAUGGUUACAUUGUAUCACACUGUUUUCCUGUGGUCCCCCUUCAUCAACACAUACACAAUGUCAUUUGUCAUAUAAAAAUAUUUGCAUUCAAGAUCCAAGGUCUGUUCUGUGUUAGCUAACAACUAUUCACCAUGGGACAACUUAGACACUGUUCAGCAGGAAAUCAUGUUGUAAAUGAUUGGUUUUAGUUUAGUCUUGUCAUGCUGGGUAGCUCUGCAUUGCUUUAUCUGAGUUGUGGAAAUCAGUUUGAAUGCAAGUGGUCAGCAUCAAACAAGGAUCUCUCACUUCAUUGCAUCUGGCACAUUUUCUCUCUGGACAAAUCUUGUGGACGUUUUGCAGACCUGCUAAUCUCAGGAAGAGUGAAGUUUUUAGAAGAUCGCUCUUCAUUUUAAGGGGUAAGUGGCAAGGGAGGAAAUGCUCACUACUGUUUGGGUUGUGUUUUCUUAGCUUAGCAAAGAAUUAUAACUUAAUGGGAUUGAUUAAUGACUCACACAGAGACAUAGUCCAGUAGUUUAGGUUAAAUGAACUAAAUGCCUCUUUUGCUUUUCAGUCUUCCAAGAUCUUUAACAGUUGUAAAGUAUCUACUUCCCCAGUUUACUUGUGGGAGUCGAUUAUACUGAUAAAAACAUGCUUUGAGUAGAACACACUGUACUGUCUGCAGCCUUCUGGAGAAUGUCAUCCCCAAAAGAAUACUAUGUGUAAUUUCAUAGAGAACAUUUAAAUUCUCUUGAAAUGGCUUUGUAAAGAUUUUAUCAUUUGAUUUGGUGGUAUUUGCCUCUAGAGCAUUUCAUUAGGGAAGAGUAUGUCAAAUUGGCUUGGUGGAGAAGUCAGCACCAUACCAAAAAGAUAAUUCAUGGUAUGAAUGCCCAGAAACUUAGCCCUAAUUCAUUCAAAUUUGGCGUAGUCUAUCAUAGAUGGAUUUCUAUGGAUCCUCCCAGAGUGUCUUCCUAGCCAAAGUACAAAUCCCUUAAGAGUAGGAUCUAGAGCUUACCAACAUUUCUGUUCCUCUGCUGGUAGUAUUUUAGUAUGUUAGCUGCCAUGUUAAUAUGUUUUGUUCAUCAAUGUAUGUGUUGAUGUGACGAACAAUAUUGUAUGUUCUAUGGUAAAAAAAAAAAAUGACUUACGUGAACCAAACUAAGCUCUUGCCUUCAUAGAACUUACUUUCUAGUGGUAGGGAAAGUAUUCCAUGUACUAUCAAAUAAAUAUUCAGUUUUAGACUGCUCUAAGUCAGGGCAAAAUGAAACAGCUUGAGAGGAUGGAAAACUUAUUUUAGAUCAGGCAGCCAGGAAAGGUCAAAGGCUGAACAACAAGCAGAGGAGAGCUGUGUGGAUAGCUGCCUAGAGGAAGUGUGCUUUAGGCAGAUGGACAAAACCAGUACAAAGGCAAAAAGUGUGGGGUUGUGGUUAUGCAGUUGGGCUCUGGAGUUCUGCUGGCUGGGUUCAAACCCUGGCUUUGCCACUUAUAUCUCUGCAUGAAAUAAUAAAGUUCAUUGAAUUCUCACUACAUGUCAGUCAACGUGCUAAGCAGUUUAAAUGGGCUAUCUUGUUUAAUUUUGAUAUUGAUCCUGAAAAUCAAUGCAAUUAUCAAUAUCAUUCUAUCAACAAGGAAACAAGGCAAAAAAAAAAUUAGGGCAGAGUGGCACAAAGAUCCAACCCUACAAGUUUGAAUGCAGAGCUGGGAGUUUUAAUAUAAAAUAAAAUGUGGGAUGAGGAUGGCUGUAUGUGGAAAUGUGGGACACGUGCCCCUUGCAGUUUCUCCCCCACCUGCCAGGGAUACCCCUCCUACACCUCAGAGGGCCUUCUGAGGUGGAUUGGGAGGGAGUACACAUGCAUCGUCACCUCUUAUUUUGGACCUUUCCCUACAAAAUUAUUCUUGGUUCCCAGCUCUUGGAGAACAGCCAUCUUGGUAAAGUAAAAUGACAGACCAAGCUCAGCAACAUUAGCAGUGGGAAUUGUGAUUGAGCAGAAAGAGCAGGGAAUGAUUAGUCUUGGCUCUAAGAAUUACCAGCUAUUGACCUAGGCCAACCAAUUGGAUCUCAGAGCCUCAGUUGCCUCCUACAUAAAAUAGAUUGAUAAUGUUUCUACUGCUUACCUCAUCUAAUAAUAUUUCUCCUAUAUAAAUCAAUUGUGAUAACAUAAAAUGCAAAAUAAAAUACAAGCUAUAUUUGAGCAUAGCUUAUUAUUCUAAAUAUGCAGACAUAUCUUGUGAUUUUUAAUUUCUUGGUUAUUAGAAUAUAUUACUGUGACAAACUUCUGGUUUUUAUUUCUAUCUCUGAUGUCACAAUCUCCUGUUUCUUCCAGGUCUUCAAGUUUCAUUCCUCCAGACAAUAAAAAUGUUACUUGGACAUUCACCAACAGUUUAAAACUUGAAUCUCUAGAAACUAGAUAAAUUAGAGUAGUUUGUAUCUUUUGAAAUUGAAGGUAUUUGACUCAAUAAUUUCUACCACAUGUAUUUAUUUUAUUGUACAGAAUAAUCUCACUUAACCAGAACUCUAGGAGGAAUGAGAAAAUGUGAGUAACUAAUUCUUGGCUAACUGAAAAGCAAAACCCCUUCUCCUCCUCUUUUCCUUUGUACUGAGAUAAUAUUUUUCAAAUGCAUCAGGUGAGUACUUCCCUGAGUUAGGAGGUGAAUUCUAAAGAAGGUGUUUAAUCCUGACUGUGUGUGUAAUUAUUUUAUGGAGAAUAGAAUUACCAUUUUGAGUAUCUCUGUUCAAAACAGAAUGUCAGUUCUCUUGGGUUGGAAUCUUGGUUUGGUUUCUUAGUAUUUCUGGGGCUGUGGAGUAAUACUUAAAUAUUUUGGACCCCUAAUUUCUUCAGCUAAAUGGAGAUAAAAAGGAUACCUAUUUUAUAGAAUUAUUCUAGUAUAGGCAGUGUCAGAUGUGUAAGUGCCUCUUAUGCACUUAGAAGAAAUGCUUUAUGUUGAUCAGAUGAAAACUUAGUAUGUCUUUAACAUAUUAAUUCUCAACCACUCGAUAAAGCAGGUACUGUUAUUAUCCCUUUUUUAUAGAACUGAAAAUUGAAGAAUAGACAUAGUGAGUAAUUUACCUGAGGCAAUUCAGCUAGUUCCAUUGUAGCUGAUAACCAAUUCCUGAUCUGCCCAGCUCCAAAUCCCUGGUCCCAACCACCAUCAUAAACUUCCCUGGUCCUGUGUUUUCUUAUAUCAGCCUUAAUCACUUACCCUCACAUAAUGUGGAAUUUAAACUUUUCCUUCAAUAAACAAUAAAAUUUAUGGCAGGGGAUGAUCCUGAACAAUCAAAAUGAGAGACCUGAUGGCUUGCUUCCAUUUAAUUCAAUUUUUUUUAGUAUUAUGUUCUAUUGAACAUUUCCCUUUAAUUAAAUUACAUAUUAGGAGUCAUUUGCAGUAAAUUGUUUUAAAAUUAAUAUUUCCUUUGUUUCAAACAACGAAAGUUUUCAUAAGAUUUACCUUGAAGGAUUUCAGUUUGUUUGGCUCUGGAAUACACGUACUUGGAAACAUUCUUUUAAAAGUUAAUAAGCUGUCUCCUUAGAAUGUAUUCUCAAUCAGGUCCAGGGUAAACUCUGCGCAGUGUCCGGAACAGCCCCUGCCCACCUGUUUGCACACUGAAAUGACUUGAUGUUGGGCUUGACCUGUCACAUGUAGAGGGGGAGGAGGAGUAGAAUGGUGGGGCAGGGGAAGGUAGCACCAUCAAGCCUGUAUUUUCCAGUAAUGGUCAUGGGUCAUGCCUGCAUUUUAAAGAGGAGGAAAAUUACUUUUCCUUUCAAAUGUAUUAAGGUAUGACUCAGGCUGGAAUUGGUCCAGCACAUUGGUCAAAUAAUCCAGAUUGACAAGUAAAGGGAGCUAGAAGAAGACAGAGUAGAGAGCUGGAAUGCAAAGGCAGAUGUGUAGGUUCAUUGCAAAAAUGUGAGAAAUGAGAGAAAAAAGCAUUAGGAAAAGCAGCAUAUGUAACAUGAAAACACACAAACCAAAGAAAAGCCUUUCCAACCACUGGCCUCAUCUCCUUAGAUAAUCCUAGGAACUCCAAACUCCCUACCCAGAAAAUUAAUAGGAUAUCCAAAGAAAAUGAACCUCUCCUUAUAAACAAAGUGGAAAUUUCCUUCUUUUCAAAAGGGCCCCAGUCCCAACCAUAGAGGAAGCAAAGAGGCGAAAACACAUUUCUGCCUCAAAUGACCUCCUAUUUUAAGAAACAACAACAGUCCCAAAAGAAGGAAAAGAAAAACAAAGUUCCACUCCAAAGGAAAUUGUAUGUAAACAACCCAAAUGGAGACAGAGACCAGGAGGACUGGAGUACUGAAAUAAGCAAUGUGUGAAAGGCAUCAUUAGCCUCUAACAAUGUCAGAAUCUGAACUUUGCUAACAACUGCUUUGUGACUGACAAAGAAGGGUUUGGGUGGGAGGAACCAGACAAAAGCAUGCUGGCUGAAAUGUCCCCUCUGUAGCCUGGAAACUUUGAUCUUUGAAGUUUGCCUAUUUUUCAGGUCUCUGCUAGCAUGUAACCUGGGGAAGAUCAGCAACCACAAAAUGUUGGCUAUAAUUUUCUACAAUUUGUCACAUGCCCUCUUCAAGCCCUUGUGAGAUGGAUUUCUUUUGUUUUUAAGCUGCAUCCCAGAUGGAGGGAUUCUGUUGUUGGAGUCACAAGGACCUGUAAGGAAACUACUCAGAGCCAGCUGGUCCCUGCCAUCAUUGAAACCCAAAGGGAGGAGCUCCACGGGUGACGAACUGCUCCCUCGAUGUCUUAAAGUUGCUUGUAUUUCAAAAGAAUUCAGCUUACCACCUCGGUGGCUUUUAGCCUCUCUAAUAAAGCAGUUUUUAAAAAGCUAA